rnacentral:rRNA from 1 species
ACCGGCGCACGGGUGAGUAACACGUAUGCGACCUGCCCCCGCAGGGGGAUAACCGGGAGAAAUCCCGACUAAUACCGCGUAACGCCGCGGACCUGCAUGGGUCUGCGGCCAAAGGAAGCGAUUCCGGCGGGGAUGGGCAUGCGGCGCAUUAGCUAGUCGGCGGGGUAACGGCCCACCGAGGCGACGAUGCGUAGGGGUUCUGAGAGGAAGGUCCCCCACACUGGUACUGAGACACGGACCAGACUCCUACGGAAGGCAGCAG